rnacentral:rRNA from 1 species
UACGUAGGGGGCAAGCGUUAUCCGGAUUUACUGGGUGUAAAGGGGGCGCAGACGGCGAUGCAAGCCAGGAGUGAAAGCCCGGGGCCCAACCCCGGGACUGCUCUUGGAACUGCGUGGCUGGAGUGCAGGAGGGGCAGGCGGAAUUCCUGGUGUAGCGGUGAAAUGCGUAGAUAUCAGGAGGAACACCGGUGGCGAAGGCGGCCUGCUGGACUGCAACUGAUGUUGAGGCCCGAAAGCGUGGGGAGCAAACAGG